UACGUAGGCAGCAAGCGUUGUUCGGAAUUACUGGGCGUAAAGAGUGUGUAGGCGGUGUUCUAAGUUUGUCGUGAAAUCUCCCGGCUUAACUGGGAGGGUGCGGCGAAAACUGGAAUGCUAGAGGAUGGGAGAGGUAAGCGGAAUUCCUGGUGUAGCGGUGAAAUGCGUAGAUAUCGGGAGGAACACCAGUGGCGAAGGCGGCGACCUGGACGGACACUGACGCUGAGACGCGAAAGCGUGGGGAGCAAACAGG
rnacentral:rRNA from 1 species